UGGGGAAUAUUGCACAAUGGGCGAAAGCCUGAUGCAGCAACGCCGCGUGAGUGAUGAAGGCCUUCGGGUUGUAAAGCUCUGUCUUUUGGGACGAUAAUGACGGUACCAAAGGAGGAAGCCACGGCUAACUACGUGCCAGCAGCCGCGGUAAUACGUAGGUGGCAAGCGUUGUCCGGAUUUACUGGGCGUAAAGGAUGCGUAGGCGGAUUUUUAAGUGAGAUGUGAAAUACCCGGGCUUAACUUGGGUGCUGCAUUUCAAACUGGGAGUCUAGAGUGCGGGAGAGGAGAAUGGAAUUCCUGGUGUAGCGGUGAAAUGCGUAGAGAUUAGGAAGAACACCAGUGGCGAAGGCGAUUCUCUGGACCGUAACUGACGCUGAGGCGUGAAAGCGUGGGUAGCAAACAGGAUUAGAUACCCUGGUAGUCCACGCCGUAAACGAUGAGUACUAGGUGUAGGAGGUAUCGACCCCUUCUGUGCCGCAGUUAACACAAUAAGUACUCCGCCUGGGAAGUACGAUCGCAAGAUUAAAACUCAAAUGAAUUGACGGGGUCAUAGCUGUUUUCCU
rnacentral:rRNA from 1 species